GUCACUUAGAUGUAGGAGCCCUACAUUUAAAAAUGUCGUCAGCUACGAGCUCUAGUCAAGAAACCCAUUUGUGACCUUUCCAAAGAAAAAGGGAGUUCUACAUUUUUGGGUCCAACAGUCACUGCCGAAUCGUUUCAGUUCAACCCACCACAUCUGCUCACACUCCCGUGCGCACAGAUGGAAGCGAAGGGCCACCUCUGCCUGGUUCAGCAGCACAGAGGGAAACCUCUGAGGACCCCCUGAAUGCAGUACCUGCACAGCGCGGGCACGCUCGGUCCCUCCACGUUGCUCUCAGCCCAGCAUGUUAGGCAGCAGCACGUUAGGCAGCGCUCUGGCCGGCGGCUGGGUAACAAGAUCAGGGGAAUUGCAUAUUCCGCUGCAGGCAGCACAAGAGCUGCCCCUGGAGGGGCUGCCAGGAAGCCUCUCUGCAAGGGCUCAGUUCAGCCCCACAAGCCAGUUUUGUGGCAAUAACAAAAGUAAAACAAUGAGGUAUGGAAAGAAGGGCCCAGCAUUGGGGAAGAGACCAAGAAAGAAGAAAACAGCUCGAGCACUGCCAGAAAUAGCGAACAACCGAAACCUUUAUCUCCUCCCUCUAUUUUUUUUUUCCUUUUUCCUUUUUCCCUUUUUCUUUUUUUCUUUUUUUUCUUUUUUUUCUUUUUUUUUGCCAAGGUGAAGUACGUCUGUCCUUUUGUUGGUUGGUUUUGGCAAAGUGAAGCCCUCGGCCGCAGUCUCUUUCCUGGCUGUCCUGCUGAGUUACCGCCACAAGUGCUGUGCGGCAAUGGAAGCCCCCGAAAGGAAGAGGAGGAAGGCAGAAGGCAAAGAUCUGCUGCUGGCCCCAGUGACGCCGUGUCCGGACUGCUUUGGGAUAGCGUGCGUUUCUGGCUGUCUGGUGCUGGGGUUCUUAGAAAGUCUUUUGCCACAGACGUCGUCAGGACAGCUGUCGCCGCUGCCUGAGCCGCUCAUGUCGUCACUCGCAUCUUGGAAAUCCACAUCAUUCCCGAUGUUGGCAUUGCCCAGCCUGUUUGUCAUGAUCUUCAGCUGCAUGAUUUGCUGGCGAAUGGUCAUAUCUGGCUUGGUGAUGUCCACCUCCACCUCUGGGUUGUUAAUCUGAUUAGCUAAGCCAUCCCCCAUCACUUCAGGCAGGUAACUGCCCUUGGUCAUCCCAUUCCAACACUUGUCGUCCGCUGCAGAGCUGGCCAUUACUUUUUUGCUGCACAGGACUCCGGGCAGGGUGACCCAGUAAGACUUGAGAGCUGUCAGAUUCCCUUUGGCAUCCAAAACCAGCAUCUCCAGUGCCACUGCAGAGGAUUUGGGUUCUAGCGUGACCUUCCCCCGCCUCUUCUUAUCCUCACUGCUGGAGCCUUUCGUGCUGAUUUUGGGAUUUCCACAGCCUUGGAAAACCUUGGCUGUGAUUGAAUCUUUGUUUUCUUGCAAGUUAGAAAUAGCUUCAGAGAUCCUCAUGUGAAUAGUCCCUAUUACUGUGUCCACAUUGUAUGGUCCGUCAAUCCGAUCAGCCACAGCGACCAGGGCAUCCAUCAGGUACUUCCACUCGGUGUUCAGGUCGGCUUGGUUGGCCAGGCAGCCCUUCACCACGUUCAGGCAGUAGUUGCUGCACGGCUUCACGCUGGCCAUGCCCCGGCAGUGCGGGCAGUACAUCAGCUUCAUGACAGCACGGGUGCACUCGUGGCUGAGGGACACCUGAGAAACCUUUUUGACCACGUCGCUGCCCACGAGGAAGCCCUGUGCGUAGGAGCGUGCCACGAUGAAGGCUCGUGUUGCCUUCAGCUUCAGGUCCCUGGGAACUUCCCCGAAGGGCUUGUGCUGCUCUGCGUGUUUCACCAUGCAGUCCAGGUACUCGUCAGUGAUGUGGUACUGGGCAUUCAUCAGCUUGAAGAGUCGCUCCAGCAAGCGUGUCCAGAAUUCAUUCAGGGCCUCUUCCAAGUUGAUGUUGGAGCCCCUGUAAUAGCGGCGUAGCUCGCUGUACAAGUCCUUGAAGACUUUCAUGUUUUGAGUGUACAAUUCUCCAUACAGGCUUGGAAAAGUAUCAUAAAGGGCUUUUUCUGACUUGUUCAACAAAUCCUGGAAAUAAUUGUCAAAGCUUCUGUACUGCGCUGUUAGGAUCGUCUGCACGGAGCGGCCCGCCUCUUUCAUCAUGGCUUCGAAUUCACUUCUGCUUUUGUUUGCAAAGUUCUCCUCCAUCUCACUGGUGCAGCAGGUGUAGCCUUGCGGACAGAUUCGCAGGUGCUCCCCGGAGAUCUCGGCCUGGGGCACGCCGUUGAGGCUGAAGCCCUUGGCCCCAUACAGCUGCCGGACCUCGGCGCAGCUCCUCGCCUUGCUGCCGCUGUCACCGCGAGCCGGGGCGGAGGCGACACACAGCAGCCAAAAUCCCCACGGGAAGAAACGCAUCCUUCUCCGCUGGCCCCGCCACCUGCCGCGCGAAGGGCAAAGCCAAGGGCCCGCGGACGGGGCUCCGGCGCCGGGCGGAGCGGGGUCCGGGCAGCCCCGGCGGGACGGCCGGCGGCGGGGGGGCGACGGGCUCUCGGGCGCUGCCCGCGGCGCGCGGGGAAGCGGCGGGCGGCUCGAUCCGGACGCCGCGGAGAGUCCGAGGAGGGGGGCAGCGAUCCAAGUUUGGCCGGGCCGGGCCCCUUCCCCGCCGCGCUUCGAAACCCCGAAGCGUGACCGCGGAGAGGGCUUUUGUUCUUAGCGCGGCCGCAUCCCCGGGCGGUCCCGCCGCGAUGCUGCCGGCUGCGGCGGCCGCCGGGCCGGGCGGAGCGGGGCGCGCGGCGGGGCUGCUCCCGCGGCUGAGCCGGGCUGCGCUGGGCCGAGCCGGGCUGCGCCGCGCCGCUCCGUGCGCGCCGGCACCGCUCCACCUGCACGCCGAGCCGGGCGGCGGGCGGGGAGGCUCCCGAGCGAGGCAGGGCUUCCCCCGCCGGACGUGGCAUCACGCCGGGCCGCGCCAAU
rnacentral:lncRNA from 1 species